AGUGAACGCUGGCGGUAGGCCUAACACAUGCAAGUCGAACGGCAGCACAGUAAGAGCUUGCUCUUACGGGUGGCGCGUGGCGGACGGGUGAGGAAUACAUCGGAAUCUACUUUUUCGUGGGGGAUAACGUAGGGAAACUUACGCUAAUACCGCAUACGACCUACGGGUGAAAGCAGGGGAUCUUCGGACCUUGCGCGAUUGAAUGAGCCGAUGUCGGAUUAGCUAGUUGGCGGGGUAAAGGCCCACCAAGGCGACGAUCCGUAGCUGGUCUGAGAGGAUGAUCAGCCACACUGGAACUGAGACACGGUCCAGACUCCUACGGGAGGCAGCAGUGGGGAAUAUUGGGCAAUGGGCGCAAGCCUGAUCCAGCCAUACCGCGUGAGUGAAGAAGGCCUUCGGGUUGUAAAGCCCUGUUGUUGGGAAAGAAAAGCAGCAGGUUAAUACCCCGCUGUUCUGACGGUACCCAAAGAAUAAGCACCGGCUAACUUCGUG
rnacentral:rRNA from 1 species